CGCCCUAAAGGACAAGUUUGGUGAAAGAAGCCAGGAUUACCCGGCAAGAUGGAAACUGGAGGGGAAAAAUUCCCUUUAAGAGGACUCACCUGCUUGAAAACCACACGUGAUGCCCACCCCCAGCAGGGACCAUGUCAGCAUAUCAGGAUCCAGGCUCUCAGGGUUUCUUUGUGCAUCAUGGCCUGAACAACUACUGGACUCUUGGACUUUCCACUGAGAGACAACCUUUGUUAGACUAGCUGGGCCACAGCCUUUAGGCCACUAUAUAUGUAUAAAUCCCAUAUGCAUAGAUUCAUUCUAUCAGUUCUGUUCCUCUAGAGAAGCCUGACUAUUACACUGGGUUUGGUUCCCAUUGCUCAUACCAUCUGUAACUCCAGUUCCCAAGUAUCCAACAUGUUAUCCUUGGCUUCUGAGGACACUGCAUGCACAUGGUGCACAGACAUACAUGCAGGCAA